rnacentral:rRNA from 1 species
UACGUAGGGGGCGAGCGUUGUCCGGAGUUACUGGGCGUAAAGCGCACGCAGGCGGUCUGCUAAGUUUGGAGUGACAGUUGGUGGCUUAACUGCCAAAGUGCUUCGAAAACUGACAGACUUGAGGGCUUCAGAGGGACACGGAAUUCCGGGUGGAGUGGUGAAAUGCGUAGAUAUCGGGAAGAACACCUAUGGCGAAGGCAGCUCUCUGGGACGGUACUGACGCUGAGACGCGAAAGCGUGGGGAGCAAACAGG